CAUGGGCAACCUGUUCGGUCGCAAGAAGCAGAGCCGGGUCACUGAACAGGACAGGGCCAUCCUGCAACUGAAGCAGCAGAGAGACAAGCUGAGGCAGUACCAGAAGAGGGUCACGCAGCAGCUGGAGAGGGAACGGGCUUUGGCCAGGCAGCUGCUUCGGGAUGGCAGGAAAGAACGGGCCAAGCUGCUACUCAAGAAGAAGAGGUACCGGGAGCAACUGCUCGAUAGGACAGAAAACCAGAUCAGCAGCCUGGAAGCCAUGGUAGGUAGUGGCCAGGAACCUUUGUUGGGAACCCGAGUGCUUGGGGAAUGGAGUUGGGGGCGGGCCACCCCAGGGUGAAAAGCAGGGAACAGGUCAGGCUGGUGAGGGUUGAACGUCUCCCAGUGCUGAGGUAGGAGCUUCCUGGUUUGCCCUUGCCGACUGGAGCCACUGAAAGUCAGUCAGCACCCUUUGAAUGUCCUCCGGCAUGUUUUCAGUAAAUCUCAGCCGCCACCGCAGGGACCAGGAAGGGUAGGACCUUCCUUCCAGUGACAGAAGCCUGUCACUCAGCUGGUCCAGAGCCAAGCAGGGCUUCUGACCCCUGGCUGCUGCUUUCAGGUUCAGAGCAUUGAGUUCACGCAGAUCGAGAUGAAGGUGAUGGAGGGGCUUCAGGUGGGGAACGAAUGUCUGAAUAAGAUGCACCAGGUAGGUCCUCAUGGGGCCGGGCGGGCAGGCGGGCGGGCAGGCGGGCGG
rnacentral:lncRNA from 1 species